GGCAGCAGUGGGGAAUAUUGCACAAUGGGGGAAACCCUGAUGCAGCGACGCCGCGUGAGUGACGAAGUAUUUCGGUAUGUAAAGCUCUAUCAGCAGGGAAGAUAAUGACGGUACCUGACUAAGAAGCCCCGGCUAACUACGUGCCAGCAGCCGCGGUAAUACGUAGGGGGCAAGCGUUAUCCGGAUUUACUGGGUGUAAAGGGAGCGUAGGUGGCAGGGCAAGUCAGAUGUGAAAACCCGGGGCUCAACUCCGGGAGUGCAUUUGAAACUGUCCAGCUAGAGUGCAGGAGAGGUAAGCGGAAUUC
rnacentral:rRNA from 1 species